UACGUAGGGUGCAAGCGUUGUCCGGAAUUAUUGGGCGUAAAGAGCUCGUAGGCGGUUCGUCGCGUCGGCUGUGAAAUCCCGAGGCUCAACCUCGGGUCUGCAGUCGAUACGGGCGGACUGGAGUUCGGCAGGGGAGACUGGAAUUCCUGGUGUAGCGGUGAAAUGCGCAGAUAUCAGGAGGAACACCGGUGGCGAAGGCGGGUCUCUGGGCCGAUACUGACGCUGGAGGCGCGAAAGCGUGGGGAGCGAACAGGA
rnacentral:rRNA from 1 species